rnacentral:rRNA from 1 species
AACGAACGCUGGCGGCAUGCCUAACACAUGCAAGUCGAACGAGACCUUCGGGUUUAGUGGCGCACUGGUCCGUAACGCGUUGGAACCUGCCCUUAAGUUCGGCAUAACUUCCCGAAUGGGGUGCUAAUACCGGCUCAUGUCUUCGGUCCAAAGAUUUAUCGCCUUUGGAUGGGCCGGCGUUGGAUUAGUUAGUUGUUAGGGUAAAUGCCUAUCACUGGUACGAUACAUAGAUGGUCAGAGAGGCUGCGCAGCGACACUGGGACUGAGACACGGUCCAGAAUACUACGGGAGGGAGCAGAGGGGAAUAUAGGAAAAUGGGCGAAAGGCUGAACCAGCAAGGACGGGUGAGUGAUGAAGGCUGGAGGGUAGGAAAGUAAGUUUACCCGGGAUGAUAAUGACAGUACCGGGAGAAUAAGCACCGGCUAACUCCGUG